AUGUCUUUCUGCGAUGACACACUCCUGUGUAACUUCCCAAAGUGUCGCACCAAGCUGAGCGGCUUUGCCUGGGUCACAGCUUGCUCGCACGUCUUCUGUGAUCAGCAUGGGUCUGGUGAGUUCAGCCGCUCCCCCGCCAUUUGCCCGGCCUGCUCCUCUGCGCUGUCUGGGAAGCUGGACAUUGUGAGGACAGAGCUGUCACCAUCUGAGGAGUACAAAGCCAUGGUGCUGGCAGGCCUGCGACCAGAUGUGAUUCUGGACAUCAGCGCCCGAGCUCUGGCCUUUUGGAGUUAUCAGGUCCAUCAGGAGCGCAUGUUUCAAGAGUACAGUCUGUCUCGGGCAGAGGCCCAGCUGAAGCAGAUGGAUAAAGUGUUGACUCAGCAGAACCAAAGCAGAGAGGUGGAGCUCUCCGGCAUGAGGGGGGAAAUCGCUUCCCUGAAGAAAGUGAUGGAGGAGUAUAAAAGGAAGUACAGCGAGGUUUCUGAGAGGCUGAUGGAGAGAAACAGGCAGUACCAGAAACUACAGGGGCUGUACGACUCUCUGAGGCUGCGUAACAUGGUGGUGGAUGUGGGGGACAGACACAUGCUGCCACAACCAGGACGGAAUGACUAUAACGUUGGCAUGGCUCGGCGGGGAACUCCCCAGAGGAGCCCACAGUUCCUCUCCGUGGCCCCCGAUGGGGACAGUCAAUUCUUCUCCUGCCUGGAGGCUGACGGAGCAAAAAGCUUCUUCUAGUACAGCUCCCCCGCCAGGUAGAGGCCGUCCAGACUUCAAGAAGCACUGAGAUGGCCACAUGUUUCAUAACAACGUAGGACCCAGACGCUCUACUCACACCAGGACGUUCCGUCUGUGACGUCAAGCUGGACCGCUUCACGGGCCAAGACCACGCUGUCCAUCACGUGCUUGUUGUGGUCUUCGCUGUUCGCCGUCGGCAGCUGUCGCAGCACCAUAGACAAGUUGCGUAGUGACACUUUGUUCUUACUCUACACAGGGGGGAGAUAAAGAAUAAGAAACACAAGUUAAUAAGUUAACAGGAGCUUUCAUUCAGAAACAACCAUACACAAUUACACUGCUUGCAAUAGUGCCAGAAAUUAUAACCUACACUUUCACAAUGACCUUCUCUCUGUCUUUAAUGUACCUGUUGCAAGGCUCCUGUGAAGCAGUUCUUGGCCCCAGUCAGGUCUCCCUUUUUCCAGUACUGCUCCCCCAGUGUGUUCCAGCCCUCCACCAGGCCUGGCUCCAGCUUCACGGCGCGGGAAAGGCACUCUUCUGCUACGGCGCUGAAGUCAGGAGACACGUUCAGACACCUGCCCUUCUGCAGCAGGAACUCUGCUUUGUGUUUUAAUUGAUCUCUUCUUCAGUGUCUUUUCCAUCUCCUGUGCGACAUCGUUUUGUUUCCUCCCAGCUUCCUCCACACUGUGAGUCUCAAAAUAGUUGUCUCUGAAAUUAUACAGGUCAUCCACGAGCUCCUGUGAUGUGAGGGAAAAAAUGAUUGUGAGUUCUUGACAGCAGUUAGAAAUAGACCAAAGGCACAGUGAAUAUUGAGUUAGAAAAAAUGUUUUGGACGAAUAUUGUCUAUGAGAUGUGGAAAUUUAAUAAGUAUUUAUUAAGUUGUUAGGGCUAUAUUGCAUAAAAUAAUAUACCUGUAAUUAACUAACCAAUUCCACUGAAGUUGUAAACAUCAAACGAUUCAAAUGUAAAUCAUAAAAGUGUAUUAAGUUAUUAGAAUUAUUUUGAUUUUACAGGAAACCAUAUAAUAACCAUACAAACUGGGAACAUGGAGUUUGAAAACGGUGGGCAUUCAUCAGCCAGACAGGGGUCUCAUGAAAGAAGCUUAAGAGUUGCAUUAUGGGAACUGUAGGAUGCAGUGUUGUCGGUGCUUGACCCAUAUACGAGUCAGAUCGUUAGAUUUUGUGAUGCUUAGUGGAAAUGCAAUACUCAAAUUAUUGACGAUUCCCAAGUGAACAACUGCAAAAUCAAAUGAGAUGUAUCUUUAUGAUGGACAUUAGUAAAAGGUGAUACGGCCUGUACACCUGUCUUUAGACUCAUUGUGUCUAACACAUAUGGUAGAUUUGAUAAAGGCUGACUUAGUAAUGGACCUUGAACUGACUUAAACAUCUCCAUCUUUGUUGCAUUAAGUCACACUGACAAUCUGGUGACUCAGCAAGAAGUGGAUAGAUAAGCUAAUAAUGCAUAUUAGUCUGGUAUCUAACUAUGAAAUAGGGUGACUGUAAAGCAUAUUCUACACAUAGAAUAAAUAAUACGACUCUCAUACAUCCGACAUAGUCUUAUAAGUAAAGGAAGAAUACUAGACAAGGUAUGUUAGCAUUGCAGUUGUUAUAGUAACAAGAUGUCAAGCUAGCAAAUGAAGAUGCACACACAAGAAAAACACGCUGAGCUCCCGAGAAGUCAAGCAACGUGAAGGCUUGGUUUUAAAUAUAAGUGCAUGGUUAUUGAAAUAACGUACCUUCACAAUUUGCAGCUCUUUUUUCUCUUUUACAGGCUCAACACUCUUCUCCUCCUCCGCCAUCUUUGCGUCAGCAGAAGAAAAAGGCUGGUUAAUAAAAUAAAGAAAAGGCUGUUAGCAGAUUGACCACCAACGAGAAAAAAAUAUAAAAAAAUACUAGACGUGUAUUUAAUCCAAGUGUAUGAAAAUCAGAUGAUGACAGGAAACAUGUAUCUACUAAAAUUGCACGAAAACAAUGUAUUUUAGCGCGAAGGAAAUAGGCUUUUAAUUUCGCCGAUACCGGAAGUCCGUCACCAAAAUGAACCCGAUGAAAAACAUUGUCACAUUAACAGAAAUACUUUUUUUUUCUUUGCUAGAAUAAAGCUUGGAGAAAAUGUGGAUGACGGCAUUAUAAU